rnacentral:rRNA from 1 species
UUUUUGAAAAUAAUUUAAAAUAGGGCCUGCCCMCUGAAUUUAUUUGAAGGGCCGCAGUAUUUUGACUGUGCAAAGGUAGCAUAAUCAUUAGUUUUUUAAUUGAAAGCUGGAAUGAAUGGUUUAAUGAAAUAAAGACUGUCUUGGUUAUAAAUAAAGAAUUUUAUUUUUAAGUUAAAAAGCUUAAAUAAAUAAAAAAGACGAGAAGACCCUAUAGAGUUUUAUUUAUAAUAUUUUAAUAAUUAAAGAAUUUAAUAUUAUUAAUUAUUUUAUAAAUUUUAUUGGGGUGAUAGUAAAAUUAAAUAAACUUUUAUUAAAUUUAACCAUUUAUAUAUGAUUAAUUGAUCCAUAAAAAUGAUUAAAAGAAUUAAUUACCUUAGGGAUAACAGCGUAAUUUUUUUUUAGAGUUCAUAUUAAUAAAAAAGAUUGCGACCUCGAUGUUGGAUUAAAAUUAAAUUUUGGUGAAGAAGCUAAAAAUUUAAGUCUGUUCGACUUUUAAAAUUUUACA